ACACUGAUGCAGAGCAAAUGGCUGAAUCUUCCGACGGCAGACUUGAGGUUCACUGAUGAGAUUCUGAGGG
rnacentral:snoRNA from 1 species